GUGGCACUUGGGUCAUCAUCCCUAUUCCAUCCCGAUCACUCAGACUCAGGAUUUGCUUGGCAUUCAGGACUAUUUAUGAUGAUAGCAUCUGUUUCAGUACCAUUCUACUAGAAGAGAAAGAAGAAGAAGCAAGCAUGAGCUAAUGUUUGAAUUGUACAUUUUGGAUUAUUAGGUAUUGGAUAUUAAAGAUAGUCAUUGACUAGUAUAUAGUGUUUUGUAAGUCAUUUUGAAUUGGAGGUGGUCUCGUAGGUCAUCUUCACUUGAUGGGGAAAGUAGAUGCCCUUCAUAAAGAUGGCAUUGACUAACAUAUAGUGUUCACAUGUAAAGAAACGACCAAGCCUGCCUUUCUUUAGUUUGUCAUGCUAGUUAUCUUACAAAAUAAUAAUAUAUAUAUACUACAUAACAAUACAACUAGCUAGCUCAACGGAUGCAUAUAUUUGAGUACCUGCCAUCUCACAAAUAUACGAAGUAGGAGGUGUACUCUUCUCCCUUCUUCCACGUCCUACCCAACUUUCGCUUCUUGGUUCAUCGAUGGGAUGUUUGAUAACAUUAAACUAUGGUGCAAACGUGCGCCUCAUGGCUCUAUCCAAGACUUUAAUAGGAAAGAAGGCUCUGCCUGUCAUCCCUUGUAAAUCUCCCCAUCUGAAAUGAUUUUCUCCAUUUUAAAUAAUCCUUCAUGAUCUGAGUCAUGCAUUAAAAUACAAUUGUGCUACACAAAGUACACUUGUUAGGUAAGUUUCCUUUUGAUUAAUGCUUACCCACUAUAUAUAACAAGUAUAUACUUAGUUAAUUAUUUAGACAUAUAACUUUGG
rnacentral:lncRNA from 1 species